UACGUAGGUGACUAGCGUUGUCCGGAUUUACUGGGCGUAAAGAGCGCGCAGGCGGUCGUUCAAGUCGAGUGUGAAAGCCCCCGGCUCAACUGGGGAGGGUCACUUGAUACUGGUCGACUCGAAGGCAGGAGAGGGAAGCGGAAUUCCCGGUGUAGUGGUGAAAUGCGUAGAUAUCGGGAGGAACACCAGUGGCGAAGGCGGCUUCCUGGCCUGUUCUUGACGCUGAGGCGCGAAAGCUAGGGGAGCAAACGGG
rnacentral:rRNA from 1 species